rnacentral:lncRNA from 1 species
GCGCGCUCCCUCCCGGAGCGCUGGAGACAGAUAUGCAAGAUGGCAGAGGAGGGGGAAAGCCAAUAGAAAAGGGAUAUUGCACCUACUUGUGGCCAGUUUCCUUGCCCUGCCUUUGGAUCUCAUGCUGUGCCCAGUCCUGCAGCCGCUGGUGUGUGGUUGGGGUUUUUUUUUCUUGGAUCUUUUCCUUCUUUUGCUUUCCCUCUCGCUCCCUCCCUCGCUUCUCUCUCUCUCUCUCUCUCUCUCAUACACACACACACACACACACACACACACACACACUUACACACACUCACUCUCUGUCUUUCCCUCUUUCACUCUCUCUCCCUCCCUCUCUCCCUUUCUCUCAAUCCACACUCGCUAUCUCUCCAGCAUUGUCAGUUCGGACACCUUCGCACAUGCGCGCUAGACGCCCCUCCAACAUCUCAGCGCCGCCAAAAAAAGUUUGGAGCGAUUUAUCACUUUGAUUUGGAGAUCUUGUCAGAUGGCAAUCGCCGAGGAGGCGGAGAAAGGGAGCCACGGGGAGGGCGGCGGGGGGCGGGGAGCGAGCACAGGGAACCAGAGGGGAGCAGACACCUCGCCCCCAAAAAAGGCGGGGGGGGGGGGGGGGAAAUAAAAAGACUAGGGCAAAGGACUGAUUUCGUGUUGGAAUCACCUAUAAGCCUGUAUCAUUACUAUUAUUGUUUUUCCCACCAUAAAUUGCAGGAAAUUUUCUAUACAUCCACGGACAAAACAAGAAGUGGGGCUUUUAAAACCUUUUUCCAUAUUAAAGAACUAGAAGGACAGGACUCUUAAAUGAUCCAGGAGAAAGUGAGAAUCAUCCUGAACUUCAGGAAAUCUGCUGCCGCCGCUCUUACUGCUACUGAAGCUAUUUCGGCUUGUGCUUUCGGAGUUGAAAGUAGAACAAGUAACUGUUUUCUUUCUCGAUGUUAAGUAUACUACCAAUACUUGCCAUUCUUGGAACAUUUCAGUGGUCUAUUCCCAUCAAGUAGUAAUGAUCACCUUUGAUUCCCAGGUCCGGGCAGGCUCGGGCAUUUAACAUCCAAGACCUCCUGCUUCCCUAAGGUCGGCCGUCACCUUCCGGCCUCCCCCACCGCUGCCCCCAUCUCCGGUUGCCCCAGCUCUGCCUGCCUGCCAUUUUCACUCAUUUGCUUAAACCCACAACCUUUAGGGUCAUAAGAAAGGGGGGGGGGUCCUUUCCCACCCUUAAAAAAAUAAAUUGUUGGAAUUUGCUUUAAUUACAGGAUUUACCAAGGAAGUGGGCACAUAGAAAUGGGGAAAUCCUAAAGGGGCCAGCUGUGUUCAAGGUAUGAAUCAAUCUCAACUACGUAUAGAUUUUCUCUUGGUACAACUGCCUUGCAUUAAACAGUUUUGUUCAAUACCUUCCAUGAGCUAUUUAUGUCCCCAUUAAUAUCUGUUGCAAAUCCUGCCAGACACUGUAAAAGAAAAUUACAAUCUUUUCAGUCUCUGUGCUGCAACAGUACAUCCUUGAUGAUCCAGUUAGAGGAGAAGGAAAAGAAAAGCAAGUCCUGGGCAUGAGUUUAGGAAAGGCAGGGGAGGGGAAGAGAGAUCAUUGAGAAUACCCUGUUGUGCCAGUUGUCAUUUAUUGUCAAAACUGGGACUGGGAGUGUGAGCAAACAGCAAGUUUCAACCCUAAGAGGGGUUCAUCAAUGGUUCAUAGAAUCUCUCUGUUUGAGGAAAUCAAAAUUCAAAGGAUCACCCUGGCUAAGGAUGCCCACCAUUUCUUUCUCCGGAGUUGUGUAAUUCUGGGAGCAUGUGGCGGUAAGAUAGAGGUCCCUGGAGAACCAAGUAAAAGUCCCAAGAGAGACAGACGUGUAAUGUCGAAAUGUAAGGAAAAGAUAAAGGGAGCAAAUGAAGUAAUUACACAGAGCAGGAGUAAAACAACUUCCAAAAGAGAAGGUUCUGGUAAGCACCAGAUGGGCACAGGAGAACUCUAUCAUUCCCUCUGGACUGAAAAGGCAGGUGGGGGGAGGGGGGUCCAAUCCUGCUACAAUUCCUGUUGCCCUGUGGUGUACUUCUACACAGCAGAGGUGGGUGCAAAAACACCAGGCUUUGGGUACCCAGAGGUCUGUGAAUUCGAAUUCACUGGCUCUUCUCAGUUUAGAUGGAGGAGUGCCUUCCCUCAGAUGAACAGUUAAGUUUCCUCAGAAGAAAAGGCGAAGUUGGGGUUGAGAACCAUCAGAAAGGUAAUAGAAUCUCUAGGGAGAGAAACACUAGACUGGCCAUCAAGAUGUUCACAGAAGCUGCUUCUGAUCAGUUUAAGGACUCCCUGGGGACCCUCACCUUGGCCAAAAGACACAGAGAAGACACAGGAGGAUCAGGCCCCACCCAUCUGUCAGAACCUCAAUGGCCUCUUCCCGCAGGAGGGGAGAAGGAGACCCCUAGGCAGGAAGAGUGCCCUGCACAGUAGGAGGCUCAGCCUUGGACUUUUCAUUUCACCUCCUCAGCCCCGGGGAGCUUAAAAAAAUAAUAAAAAGGAGUUACUAUCCUCCCCUCCACUGCUCUCAUUAAUUCCUUCCAUCUCAUCCCCACGGGGGGUAUAUAUCCUGGUCCACUCGCGGAGAGGAGGUUAAGAGACGUGCCAGAGAAUUUUCUAGGAAACGAAGGUACCACGGAACCAGACCCAAGAUUAAAUAGAAAACCCACCUGUGAAGCUGCGGUGAUUGUUUCUGCUGAGAAAUUACAAACCACGUGGCGGGCUAGGGGUGGGGUAGGGGCUGUGAAGGGAACUGAAUAGGAUAUGAAGGACUCAAGAAAAUCAAAUCUGAGUCCCCAAACUUAAAGAUCCGUCAACUUUUCUAGACGGCGAAGGGCAAGAGGAUGAGGCGUCGCUGGAACACCCUCCCCUUCUCGUUUUUAAAGUCCCUGGGGUCGCGGCCGCCUCUGCGAAUGCCUGGUCUUUCCAAGAGUUUCGGGACACGAGCAAAUCCAACCUCUUCCAACUGAAAUAAUAAACACAAACUCCUCUGUGCCCUAGGGCCAAAGCAUUGUGACUAGACAAGGCAUCAUUCUUUUUGUUGUUUUUUUAGUAAAGUAUUCGCAACAUCAUCACUUUUAUUUUCAAACCUGAAAGCUGGGUUUUCC